rnacentral:rRNA from 1 species
AUUGAACGCUAGCGGGAUGCCUUACACAUGCAAGUCGAACGGCAGCACGGACUUCGGUCUGGUGGCGAGUGGCGAACGGGUGAGUAAUGUAUCGGAACGUGCCCAGUAGCGGGGGAUAACUACGCGAAAGCGUAGCUAAUACCGCAUACGCCCUACGGGGGAAAGCAGGGGAUCUUCGGACCUUGCACUAUUGGAGCGGCCGAUAUCGGAUUAGCCAGUUGGUGGGGUAACGGCCUACCAAGGCGACGAUCCGUAGCUGGUUUGAGAGGACGACCAGCCACACUGGGACUGAGACACGGCCCAGACUCCUACGGGAGGCAGCAGUGGGGAAUUUUGGACAAUGGGGGAAACCCUGAUCCAGCCAUCCCGCGUGUGCGAUGAAGGCCUUCGGGUUGUAAAGCACUUUUGGCAGGAAAGAAACGUCGCGGGCUAAUACCCCGCGAAACUGACGGUACCUGCAGAAUAAGCACCGGCUAACUACGUGCCAGCAGCCGCGGUAAAAC